AGAUGUGCCAUUUUUGAACUUUCCAGUCUGGGGAUGUAUGCAGUUCAGGAGAAGAAGGACAAAAUGAUUCUCUGGAAAGCAGAUCCAAUUUUAGAAUUACUUCCCUAGGGACCUCAGCCUGGAUGGUGGAGGAGAAGCUGGAGUGCUGGAAUGGUCCCAAGGCAUACAUGGGAUUGGGAUAUGCAGAACAAACUCCUGCCAGUGCUGAAUAGUGUGCUGACUUGCAUAAACUCUUGAGAACUCUGAAUCCUGAAAAUAUUUUUUUUUGUCUUGGAUCUUCAAAUGGAAACUUCAAAAGAUAAAUUAUAAAAAUGUUAAUUUUCAUGCAAAAU
rnacentral:lncRNA from 1 species